CAUAAUUUAAUGAUGGAGAGUUUGAUCCUGGCUCAGGACGAACGCUGGCGGCGUGGAUUAGGCAUGCAAGUCGAACGGUAGAGUUCCUUCGGGAGCUUGAGAGUGGCGAACGGGUGAGUAACGCGUAGGUUAUCUACCCUCAAAUUGGGGACAACCCAGGGAAACUUGGGCUAAUACCGAAUGAGAGCAUCUGU
rnacentral:rRNA from 1 species